AUUGAACGCUGGCGGCAUGCUUUACACAUGCAAGUCGAACGGGCUGGGGGCAACUCCAGUCAGUGGCGAACGGGUGAGUAAUGCAUCGGAACGUACCCCGUAGUGGGGGAUAACGCCGGGAAACCGGCGCUAAUACCGCAUAUGCUCUACGGAGGAAAGUGGGGGACCGCAAGGCCUCACGCUAUGGGAGCGGCCGAUGUCCGAUUAGCUAGUUGGUGGGGUAAUGGCUUACCAAGGCGACGAUCGGUAGCUGGUCUGAGAGGAUGAUCAGCCACACUGGGACUGAGACACGGCCCAGACUCCUACGGGAGGCAGCAGUGGGGAAUUUUGGACAAUGGGGGCAACCCUGAUCCAGCCAUGCCGCGUGCGGGAAGAAGGCCUUCGGGUUGUAAACCGCUUUUGGCAGGAACGAAACGGUGCGGGCGAAUACCCUGUGCUAAUGACGGUACCUGCAGAAUAAGCACCGGCUAACUACGUGCCAGCCGCCGCCGUAAGAC
rnacentral:rRNA from 1 species